rnacentral:rRNA from 1 species
UCCGUAGGUGAACCUGCGGAAGGAUCAUUAUCGAGUUUGCCGUCGGGUUGUUGCUGGUUCUUACAAGUGCACGCCCGGCGCGUUCUCCCAUCCACCCCUCUGUGCAUCGUGACGCGUCUCGCGGGACGCGGUCCUUUAUACUACCCUUUUGUAAUUGAGCGAACGCGAUAUAACGUAUUAAAUGUACAACUAUCAACAACGGAUCUCUUGGCAUCCCGCUCGAUGAAGAACGCAGCGAAUUGCGAUAAGUAAUGUGAAUUGCAGAAUUCAGUGAAUCAUCGAAUCUUUGAACGCACCUUGCACCUUUUGGUAUUCCGAAAGGUACGCCCGGUUGAGUAUUAUGAACACCUCAAUCCAACGGUCUCUGAUUGCAAAGGUCCCAUGUUCGGCGAAGCCCUUCUGUGGAGGGGUGGUAGCUGAAGUCGGACUUGGAGGCCUGUUGGACUUGGACUUGAGCGACGACUGUCGGUCCGCUUGGAUCGACUCGCUCGAAAUGCAUUAGCUGGCGACCCGUCUUACGGUUCCACUCGACGUAGUAAGUUCUAUUUCGUUGAGGACGCCUCUCCGGAGGUGGCCGUCGGGCUUGGGCCUUUGCCGCUUCCAAUCGUCUUUGGACAGCAUCUGAAUCUUUAAUCUCAACUCGGGUGGGACUACCCGCUGAACUUAAGCAUAUCAAUAAGCGGAGGA